rnacentral:rRNA from 1 species
UGGGGAAUUUUUCGCAAUGGGGGAAACCCUGACGAAGCAACGCCGCGUGGAGGAUGAAGGCCUUCGGGUCGUAAACUCCUGUCGACCGGGACGAACGUAGUCCGGCCCAAUACGCCGGGCUAUCGACUGUACCGGUGGAGGAAGCCACGGCUAACUCUGUGCCAGCAGCCGCGGUAAUACAGAGGUGGCAAGCGUUGUUCGGAAUUACUGGGCGUAAAGGGCGCGUAGGCGGUUCGUUAAGUCCUGUGUGAAAUCCCCCGGCUCAACUGGGGAACUGCACAGGAAACUGGCGGGCUUGAGUUCGGGAGAGGGAAGCGGAAUUCCGGGUGUAGCGGUGAAAUGCGUAGAUAUCCGGAGGAACACCGGUGGCGAAGGCGGCUUCCUGGACCGACACUGACGCUGAGGCGCGAAAGCUAGGGGAGCAAACGGG